CGCGCAGGCGGUGGCGUCAGUCAGUGGUGAAAUCCCUCGGCUCAACCGAGGAACGGCCAUUGAUACUGCGCUACUAGAGUGUGGGAAGGGUAGACGGAAUUCCAGGUGGAGCGGUGAAAUGCGUAGAUAUCUGGAGGAACGCCAGAGGCGAAAGCGGUCUGCUGGCCCACAACUGACGCUGAGGCGCGAAAGCUAGGGGAGCAAACA
rnacentral:rRNA from 1 species